GAUGAACGCUGGCGGCGUGCCUAACACAUGCAAGUCGAGCGAACCCUUCGGGGUGAGCGGCGGACGGGUGAGUAACGCGUGGGUAACCUGCCCUAUACACACGGAUAACGUACCGAAAGGUACGCUAAUACGGGAUAAGGUUGUUGGAUGGCAUCUUCUAACAAUCAAAGCUCUGGCGGUAUAGGAUGGACCCGCGUCUGAUUAGCUAGUUGGUGAGGUAAUGGCUCACCAAGGCGACGAUCAGUAGCCGACCUGAGAGGGUGAUCGGCCACACUGGAACGGAGACACGGUCCAGACUCCUACGGGAGGCAGCAGUGGGGAAUAUUGCACAAUGGGCGAAAGCCUGAUGCAGCAACGCCGCGUGAGCGAUGAAGGUCUUCGGAUCGUAAAGCUCUGUCCUCAAGGAAGAUAAUGGCGGUACUUGAGGAGGAAGCCACGGCUAACUUCGUGCCAGCCGCCGCGGUAA
rnacentral:rRNA from 1 species